AUGGAAACACUGUUUCCAGUAUGAUCACCAAAGUAAAGCAAUGUUGAGCCUGGUCAGUACCUAGAUUGGUGACUGCUUGGGAAUACCAGGUGCUGUAA
rnacentral:rRNA from 1 species